rnacentral:rRNA from 1 species
AUGAGGCGACGGCAUCAGCUGCUGGUUUCGCCGUCUUGUUGCCUGAGCGGCCUCGUGCUGCUGCUCCUCGCGCUGUCUGCUCGAGCUCAGCGGCAGGCACACACAGAUCCCUCUGAAGUGGCCGCACUGAACGCCAUCUUCCGGCGAUGGGGCCUGCGGGCGUCUGCGGCGUGGAACAUCAGCGGCGAGCCUUGCAGCGGUGCCGCCACCGACGACACCGACAUUGAUGAUGACCCAAACUUCAAUCCGGCCAUUAAGUGUGACUGCUCCUACAACGGCAGCACCGUCUGCCACAUCACCAGGAUGAAAGUAUAUGCACUAGAUGUGGCUGGUCAGAUUCCUGCGGAACUGCAAAAUCUAACUUACCUGGCAAACCUGAAUUUAGGGCAAAAUUACCUGACUGGAUCUUUACCGGCAUUUCUUGGAAAGCUGACUCGGUUGCAAUAUCUAUCUUUCGGAGUCAAUGCAUUAACUGGAGUUGUACCGAGGGAGCUGGGAAAUCUCAAGAAUCUCAUUUCGCUGUAUAUUGAUAGUUGUGGUUUAAGUGGAGAGCUGCCAUCUACCUUUUCCAAACUUAAGGGCCUGAGAGUCCUAUGGGCAUCAGAUAACGAGUUUAUCAGAAAGAUACCUGAUUACAUUGGAAGCUUAUUGAAUUUGACGGACCUGAGACUCCAUGGAAAUAACUUUGACGGUCCCAUUCCUGCAAGUUUUUCUAAUCUUGUCAACUUGGCAAAUUUGCGAAUAGGUGAUUUUACGGGAGAGGUGUCUUCAUUGGCUUUUGUGGUUAACAUGACAUCAUUGAAUACUCUAGUUCUGCGGAACUCCAGGAUAUCUGACAACCUUGCUUCAGUGGACUUCUCGAAAUUUGUUGGACUCAAUUAUCUGGACUUGAGUUUUAACAGCAUCACAGGCAAAGUUUCUCCAACCCUUCUGAACCUGAAUCCCCUCAAUUUCCUAUUUCUUGGGAGCAAUAACCUCUCUGGGAGCCUACCAGACAUGAUUAGCCCUUCACUUACUACUAUUGAUCUGUCAUACAAUAUGCUCUCAGGAAGAUACCCUUCUUGGGUUAACAUGAAUAAUUUACAUGUGAAUUUGGUGUGGAACAACUUUGGGAUAGAUAACUCGAACAACAGUAUUUUGCCUUCAGGACUAAACUGUCUUCAGCGAGAUACUCCAUGUUUAAUUGGUUCUCCAUCUCAUUCUUCCUUUGCGGUAGACUCUGGUGGUAAGAGACCCAUCAGAGGCUCAGACAACUCUAUUUACGAACCUGAUGAUGCCAGUCUUCAAGGUGCAUCAUACUACGUUACAAACUCAACGAGAUGGGGUCUUAGCAACAUCGGGAAAUUCGUGGAUUCCCCCAAUGGGAGUUACAUAAUAGACACUUCUCGCCGGUUUACCAACACACUUGAUUCUGAACUAUUUCAGACAGCCAGAAUGUCACCAUCUUCAUUGAGAUACUACGGCAUUGGGCUCAAGAAUGGCAUGUACAAAGUUGUACUUCAAUUUGCAGAGAUCUUUUUCCCAGGUGAUCAGACAUGGAAAAGCGUGGGAAAGAGGAUUUUUAAUAUAUAUAUCCAGGGGGAUCUUAAAGAAACAGAUUUCGAUAUAAAGAAACAAACAAAUGGAAAAUCUUACACUGUUGUUGAAAGACAGUAUAUUGUUGAAGUAACGAAUAAUUUUCUUGACAUUCAUCUCUUUUGGGCUGGAAAGGGCACUUGUUGUAUUCCUAACCAAGGGUUCUACGGGCCAUUGAUCUCAGCAAUAAGCGUAUCCUCUUAUGGUAGCAACGGCGAAGGGGAUCCUGGUCCACAGAAAAACAGCAGUACCAAUAGAACAGGUUUGGUUGUUGGAGUUGUAGUCUCUGUUGCAGUUUUAGGGUUUCUAGCACUCGCCGGGGUCUUUGUUUGGAGAUAG